AUAACAUUUGGAAACAGAUGCUAAUACCGAAUAAAACUUAGUGUCGCAUGACACAAAGUUAAAAGGCGCUUCGGCGUCACCUAAAGAUGGAUCCGCGGUGCAUUAGUUAGUUGGUGGGGUAAAGGCCUACCAAGACAAUGAUGCAUAGCCGAGUUGAGAGACUGAUCGGCCACAUUGGGACUGAGACACGGCCCAAACUCCUACGGGAGGCUGCAGUAGGGAAUCUUCCACAAUGGGCGAAAGCCUGAUGGAGCAACGCCGCGUGUGUGAUGAAGGCUUUCGGGUCGUAAAGCACUGUUGUAUGGGAAGAACAGCUAGAAUAGGAAAUGAUUUUAGUUUGACGGUACCAUACCAGAAAGGGACGGCUAAAUACGUGCCAGCAGCCGCGGUAAUACGUAUGUCCCGAGCGUUAUCCGGAUUUAUUGGGCGUAAAGCGAGCGCAGACGGUUUAUUAAGUCUGAUGUGAAAGCCCGGAGCUCAACUCCGGAAUGGCAUUGGAAACUGGUUAACUUGAGUGCAGUAGAGGUAAGUGGAACUCCAUGUGUAGCGGUGGAAUGCGUAGAUAUAUGGAAGAACACCAGUGGCGAAGGCGGCUUACUGGACUGCAACUGACGUUGAGGCUCGAAAGUGUGGGUAGCAAACAGGAUUAGAUACCCUGGUAGUCCACACCGUAAACGAUGAACACUAGGUGUUAGGAGGUUUCCGCCUCUUAGUGCCGAAGCUAACGCAUUAAGUGUUCCGCCUGGGGAGUACGACCGCAAGGUUGAAACUCAAAGGAAUUGACGGGGACCCGCACAAGCGGUGGAGCAUGUGGUUUAAUUCGAAGCAACGCGAAGAACCUUACCAGGUCUUGACAUCCUUUGAAGCUUUUAGAGAUAGAAGUGUUCUCUUCGGAGACAAAGUGACAGGUGGUGCAUGGUCGUCGUCAGCUCGUGUCGUGAGAUGUUGGGUUAAGUCCCGCAACGAGCGCAACCCUUAUUGUUAGUUGCCAGCAUUCAGAUGGGCACUCUAGCGAGACUGCCGGUGACAAACCGGAGGAAGGCGGGGACGACGUCAGAUCAUCAUGCCCCUUAUGACCUGGGCUACACACGUGCUACAAUGGCGUAUACAACGAGUUGCCAACCCGCGAGGGUGAGCUAAUCUCUUAAAGUACGUCUCAGUUCGGAUUGUAGUCUGCAACUCGACUACAUGAAGUCGGAAUCGCUAGUAAUCGCGGAUCAGCACGCCGCG
rnacentral:rRNA from 1 species